GUAACACUGUUCCGACCACCAGUCCACCCCUUAUAAUCUAAAUCAUCCAAAGGCUUUGCAGACACUAUUGCUCCAAGAGCUAAAAUUGACCCAGCAAAUAAGGAGAUGGAAAUGAAAAGAACAGCUCCCUCUUUCAUCCCCAGUGUUAGAUGGUUUCCUGCACGGCUUGCAUUUUCAGCUCUUGAAGACCAAAACUGGUACCCAUUACGAAUCCAUAUAGGAAUUGCAAUAGAGAGGCAUGCUACCAUUAAGGGUACAG
rnacentral:misc_RNA from 1 species